UCCUUGUGCUUGUGAGGUAGGCAUGUUUUGUUUUGUUUUGUUUGAGACAGGGUCCUGCUCUGCAGUUCAGACCAGACUUGGAUUUGCUAUGUAGCCCAGGCUGGCCUCCAGUUUGAGAUUCUCCUGCCUCAGCCUCCUGAGCACUGAAAUUAUAGGGUCCACAGAAGAGAGCCUGAAAACUCCCAUCCCACACAGACUUCUACUUCUUUAUCCCGUGGAGCAGGGGUGGCACUGGGGGUCCCCAGCUCUUCCCCUCCUGCCUACAGGAGCCUCUUUCUCCAGCUGCCACUUGACCUCUGCCACACCUGACAACUGUCCCUCAGGGGCAGGGCCAACUCCCCUGGAAGCUUCACUUGUACAAACACACUGUGGCAGUCACCCGAGUUUCUUCACAGCAGGUGGAAAAGCUAUGGCUCUAAAUGACUGCCAUUCUAGGCCUCAGCCUCUGGCCUGGAGGAAAACCAAAGACAGCGCGGCUCACGGAAGACUUCCCCAGAGCCUCCCCGCCUGCUGUGACCCAGCCUCCAUAUUCCAGCCCAGCGCAUCUCGCUGGCACUUGGGGACAAAGGAGUCCCUACCACCUGAAGACCAGGAUAAAAAUUCACAGAGAUCAGCCGGUGUUUUUAGAUUCUUUGGUGCUGAGGAUGGCGCUCAGGGCUGUAUGCAUGCUGGG